rnacentral:lncRNA from 1 species
CAGUGUGUGUCUUUGUGUAGUGUGUGUGUAGUGGAUGCAGUGUGUUAAUUCCUGCUUGGUUCACUGCUGCCCACCUUUAGUUUAUUUAGUGAGCGCCUAACUCCUCUUUGUUGUGUCUUUGUGUAGUGUGUGUGUAGUGGAUGCAGUGUGUGUUUGUGUAGUGUGUGGGUUGUGGAUGCAGUGUGUGUUUGUGUAGUGUGUGUGGAGGAUGCAAUGUGUGUUUGUGUAGUGGAUGCAGUGUGUAUUUGUUUAGUGUGUGUAGUGGAUGCAGUGUGUAUUAUGUAGUGUGUAUAUAAUGAAAGCAGAGUGUUUGUGUAGUGUGUGGGUAGUGUGCGUAAAGUGAAUGCUGUAUAUACUAAAUGCAAAGUGUGUGUGUAUAUAAUGAAUGCAGAGUGUGUGUGUGUAUUUGUGUAGUGUGUGUAUAGUGAAUAUAGUGUGUGUAUAUAAUGCAGUGUGUUUGUGUAGUGUGCAUUAUAUAAACACACUACGCAAAUACACUGCAUUAUAUACACACACUAUGCAAACACACUGCAUUAUAUACACACACUACACACACAAACACUGCAUUAUAUAAACACUACACAAACACACACUGCAUUAUAUACACACUGCACAAACACACACUGAAUUAUAUAAACACACUACACAAAUACACUGCAUUAUAUACACACACUACACAAACACACACUGCAUUAUAUACACAGUGUGUUUGUAUAGUGUGUGUAUAUAAUGCAGUUUGUGUGUGUGUAUAUAAUGCAGUUUGUGUGUGUUUGUAUAGUGUGUGUAUAUAAUGCAGUUUGUGUGUGUUUGUAUAGUGUGUGUAUAUAAUGCAGUGUAUUUGUGUGCAUUGUAUACAAACACACACUAUACAAACACACACUGCAUUAUAUACACAGUGUGUUUGUGUAGUGUCUGUGUAUAUAAUGGAGUGUGUGAGGGGGAAUUUUUUAUUAAAUUAUUUUUAUAUAUAUAUAUUUAAUUAUUAUUUUUUGUCCCCCCUCCCUGCUUGUUGCCUGGCCAGGGAGGGGGGAUAUGACAGUCCCUGGUGGUCCAGUGGUAUUGGCUGAGCUUUGGGGGGGCGGAGAGCAAGCGCUUACUCACCUCCCAGCAGCUCCUCCAGCUCCCCAGUGCAACUCUCGCGGCCAGCGUGUCGCGCGGAGCGUUGCCAUGGUGAUCCAUGGCAACGCUCUGACGGCCGCGGGUCUCGCGAGAGUUGCACUGGAGGAGCUGCUGGGAGGUGAGUAAGCGCUUGCUCUCCGCCCCCCCAGGACCGCCGGGCUUGUAAUGAGCCUGGCGGUCCUAGGAGGUAUUAUCGGCAAUAUCGGUAUCUGAAUUGGCCGAUACCGAUAUUGCCGAAAAUACCGAAUAUCGGCCGAUUAUAUCGGUAAAACCGAUAAUCGGUCGAUCCCUAAUACAAAUAACAGAGUACAAUACAGAACAGAGUACAGUAAGAAGAUACCAGCACAAUACGCAGAACUUGGCACAACACAAAUAUCCAUAAAAUAAACAAUUGCUUUCUGUUGCUACUGCUAUGAAACAUAUCAGCAACUCUUGGCAAACAUUUAGCUCUCAGCAUACAGUGUGCACAGUGUUAAAGCAGCAGAAUACUAAUAUACUCCUCAUUACCUUUGCAGCUGGCAAUAUGAUUAAUCUGCAGUGGUAAUAUAGAGCCAGUUGACAUUGUUAACAGAAGCAGUAAUCAUUAAAGAUUAAAACUAGCAGAAUCAGCUCAGUCCUUACAGUUACAGCCUUACAGUUAGGUCCUGCAGUGUGGAGCUUCACAGCUUUUCAACUAGCCACAACAUGAGUGUCUCAGAGUCACUGAGCACUUUAAAUAAGAUGAUAGCAACUUGGCGCAGAGACUAUACUAUGCAGUACAUACUAUGAAAAUUAUUACUGACAGGCACAACAGUGAUGCUUGUCAAAUAAGGCCGUCACUUUCCAAAUGGCAAUUCAAUGGUAAGCCCCUGAAAUUCCUUCUUGAAAGAAACUAAGUGGCGGAGCCAGUGCCUAAGCGAUAUAGCCGCGCACGGACAAAGCUCACUUGUACCACACAGAUCUGUGUUUCCCACUUACCCACCAGUUCUAUUUGCAGCAACAGUGGUGAGGCAACCAAUGGGGAAAAAGACCAAGAAACACCCAGCUGAUCCCAGCUACGGGUCCCAAGAUAUCAGGAUUUUUAUGAAGCAGACUCCGAGACCAGCAUUCCCAAAGAAGGUGCCCAGAGAGGCCUACUCCUCAACCUCAUCGGAGGCAGGCAGUUUGUCUGCAGAACCAGCAAGCUCCUUGUGGGCAUGUGUUGCCCAGAUGGUGUAACCAUCGCAGGAAAAUAGCACCCCCUCAACUAAAGCAGAAAUUAAGGCCCUUUUGAAGGUUAUCAGAACCAUGUUCCGAAAAGACAUAGCAGUGGUAAAGGAGGUGAUAUCCGCAUUGACCACCUGCAGACAUGGAGGAGGAAAUGAGGAGCGUUACAGUGGUGCAAACAACAAGCUUGUGUCUGUAGGGAUUUGCUCCUUACAUACACAGUGUGCAGAUUUGACUGCACGACUGGCCAGUGUGGAAGAUAGGGCAAAAACCCAGAAUGUGAGUAUUUGGGGGAGGGGUCCCUGAGACCACAGCUAAUGAGGUUCUCUCUUAUUAUAUCAGGCGGGUACCCUCUACUAUGUUGACACAAAGACAAGCUAAGCAAACAGAGACAUAUGCCUGCUUUCAGCUUCCUAAAGCCAAAAAGACAACACCAGAUGCCCCAAGGGAUGUAAUGCUCUGCUUAUUCCAGGACUCAGAAAGGGGUGCCCUUACGCAGGAUACCUGAAGCUCUCCAGCUAUAACCCUCGAAGAUUUCCAGCUUAUUGUUUUUACAGGGACUUCUCCAUACAUACUAUAAAAUGGAGACAAACAUUAUGGAGUAACCUACUUUAUUAAGGACAAUUCAGUUCCCUAUAAGUGGGGACUGAUUCGCCUUCUAAAAAAGUUGGCAAGACAUACUUGCUGUCACUCCUGUCUGAGGUGUCAACCUUUCUUGGGUAACUGGAUAUGCUAAAGGAGAACUGCACCAGCCUCCAACCGCCCUACCUGGAUAGUUGAGAUAUUCACCUCUUUUGCACUGCGGAGAUCUAUGACUGGAGGAGAGAUGCCACUUUACCUGAGCCGUGGGGAGGCACCACAUGCUGAAUUUAUUUUAUGUGUUUCGAUCUGCUGAUUUUCCUUUAGUUUAUGCCUUUGUAAGCUACUAGAUAAAAUUUAUUUGGUAGCAGGAAUCCCCACGCCCCCAUUUGUGUCUUUAACCCCUUAAGGACACAUGACAUGUGUGACAUGUAAUGAUUACCUUUUAUUCCAGAAGUUUGGUCCUUAAGAGGUUAAGCAAAUUGGGUCCAAUUAAUAUUUCAUGGUGGCACAUUAGUUUAGCUGACAGUGUCUUCAGUUUGUAAUGAGAAUAUUAGAUGAGAUGCAGAUGGGUUGUGGAGACAACAUGUUUUGUAACUAUAGCCAUAUAAAAUAGGGUCACACCUUCACAUAUGUACCUUUAACAGUAAUAACGCCGUGCCUCUACGCUACAAAUUAUGCUGGAUUAUUGUUUUUAUUUUGUCUACAAAAACAAUACAUAAAAAAAAAGAAACAAAGAAAACUAGGCAUGUGCAAAGUAGAUUUCAAAUCUCAAGAAAGCUUUUCCAGACAGGAACGAAUCAGGGCGGAGGGGCCCUUCGGUACUGAAACCUAAUACAGGAUUAAAGAGUGACAGAUAUAUAUAUUUUCAUUUUAAUGACAGACAUAUAAGCAAUGGUUUGGGUAUCUUAAGCUCCUCCCCCCCCCAUUUUUUUUUAGUUUACCCCCUCUUAGUCACAGUCAAAAAGAAGGUGCGCUGUUGCUUUAAAAAUAGUGAUUUUAAAAAAACACUUAAAGUGCAUAUAUAAUAUAAAGUGCCCCGUGCAAAGCAAUAAUUAUCCAGUUAAUAUCUGUUGUGCAAAACUGUGUAAUCAUAAACUUACUCAAAAAACUUUUAGUAGAGAAUGAUGGAAUUUCGCAGUCUUUGUGUGCUUCUUACAAAAUCACUCAGUGAUAGUAAAUGAAACAAAAAGAAAUAUGUACAUAGCGUAUUACCGUAUGACAUGAGGACGCGUUUACGUCACGACGUUGAGUGUGCCGUUCCGAAGCCCUGCCCCCUGAAAGCAGUCCUGUGUAUCCACGCUGCGUGGUAUUGCAUGAGCCAUCCAUCCAUCUCUCUCUAUCCAUCCAUCCCUCCCUCCCUCCCUCUGGAUGGAUAGAGAGGGAUGGAUGGGAUGGAGAGGGAUGGAUGGAUGGAGGAAUAGGGAUGGAGAGAGAGUGUGUGUAUGUUUACUAUAUUUACGAUUUGUGUGUUUGUAUACAAACAAUAUAUAGAGAGAUAUCUCUAUAUAUAGUGUUUCUAUGCAAACACAAAGUUUGGGCUGAGGAGGGUUGCGGUAGGAGGGGGCAGGCAUAGACAGCGAGCUGAGCUGUCAGUCAGCUCAGCUCGCGACCGCGCAAACCGCGGUAGAGCGCUGAGUUCAUUCAUAGGGCGUCAUUCAAUGCCGCUCUAUGAAGAACGCGAUUGGUGCAGCGUGAAGACGCGCAUGUGCACCAGAUCGUUAUGAUGCUUCGCUAAGAGAAGUGUCUGAUUGAGCCCUGCUACAUUUUGACGAAAAAGGGGGAGCGGCCUGCCGAGCAUCUCUGCGCUGGAACGGAGGUAAGUUUGAUCUAUAAUAAGGACUCGAAAAUAAUUUUAAGAAGGGGAAGUUAACAUAAAAACAAGAAAGAAGGCUAGGGGGACCUGUCUUUCUUGCUUUUAUAUGUAGACUAUAGUGCUUCUUUAAUGAAAACUCCAAAAGCUGUGGGAAGGAUUUAAAUUUUUUUAUUUAUUAUAAUUCUUGUUUGUGCCACGAUAAGCCCCAUUCUCUUUUUUUACUUACUGCUUCCUCAUACUUAUCUCCUCAUUCAUAAAAAUCCCGGUUUCUCUCUCUCAAUAGUGUUCUAGAUGGGCCGAAUGGUUCUUAUCUGCCGUCACAUACCAUGUUUCUACGUUCUUUCUCCAAAUAAAGUAUCCUAAUAAACCCAGAGCCACAACAUUUUAGGCACUAAAGUAACCAUCUAUAUUAAAGUUACAUCUUACUGAUGGUUAACACUGCUGAUUAACAAUAAUACAAUUGGCAUCAAAUUAGGCGGAAUUGUAUUCCACGGGGCCAGUCUGUUGAAUGUUAGCAGUGUGAAUAGGAUUCAGUUGGGACCAAUCCUUGGGCUUCAGAAAGCAAACCAUUUCCUAAAGUAAAGACGGAAGUACUUCAACUGCUCCCAGACUCCAGUAGGAACAAGCUUGAGCCUUUCAGAUGCUAAUGGGGUCUUUGCCCUCAAACAAUGAUGAACUGCUUUGGAGUUAAUAGAUUUCUCUAGAAGAGAUUCAUCUCUCUCCAUCCAACAAAGCAGGAUGUUUUGGAGGGAAAGUAGAAAACGUGUGGUUGGGUUUCUAAAUAAGUCCUUUUACAUGCUUUGUCUUAACACAUAAGCUGCAUUUCCCUUACUAAUCCGCAACACUGCAUGAACACAACAGAAUGUUAAUAACCCUUUCAAUGCCAGUUUGAGUACAGCACACAGCGCUUCCUUGCAAAUUCUAUUUGCCCAGUUUGUGCAACACGGUGUAAAGCAGUUAAAGCUGUGUUAUACAUAGGAGUAUUCUGGCUGCUACAUCAUUUGGAGCAAACAAUAGUGCAUUUCUAGAUGCAUGGAGAAGCAAGUUUGGUCUGGUUAGUGUGUGUGUUGAUUUUUUGUUUUUUAAAUAAAGUAAAUUCUGAAGGGAAAAAAAACUGUACAUAAUAAGGGCCUACACUAGAAGAUGUGAAAACCUGUUUUGAUUAUCUAGGAACAAGGAAUCUGGAAGAGGGAAAGUACAGCUGUAAAUUUUGAAUUAUUAUUCUACACAUUUUGUUGCUGCAUGGAAUUCUGUGCACAUCAUACCAGUGUUGUGUGACAAUACUUCGCACAAGGCCAUUAGACUCACUGGGAGUCUGUCAUCAAAGUAGUUUCCCAGCAUACAGCUUGUAAAGUGUGACGUCUCACUUGAUUAACUCUAAAAAAAAAAAAGUGUAUUGCUCAAACAAUGAAAUAAUCAAAAACAUCUGAACCUCAUAUUAUUAAACAGACUCCUUGUAAUAGGUCUGUCCUUCAAAAUCCAUAUACUGGAGAAUAUCUACCGGUAAUUGUAAUAAGAAUACAAGUGUAUAUUUAUAUAUGUUUGUAUAACACACACGCCCAUACACACAUGCACGGACACGGAAAAGAUCCACAGCUGUAAAAUAUUUCUUCAGUAAAGCAUGGAAUUUUAAUUUAAAGACCAUGACUCUAAGCUAUUUGUUUACCUACUGGAUUCUGGCUUUUACCACCCCGCAAGAUAACAAAAUUGAGCCAGAGUUCAAGGAACUCAAAGGAUUUGUUUUAUAAAUAUAUAUAUAUAUAUAUAUAUAUAUACACAUACAUACACACACACACACACACACACACACAUACUUAAAUAUAAAUAUAUAUAUAUAUACACACACACACCCCUACGUGUGUGUUUUUGUGUAUAUACACACACACACACACACACACACACACAUCUAGAUAAUCAGAAAUAACAGCUGCAAAUCAAAUAAUCAGCACACUCCUAUACUCUCUUAACCCCUAACACUCACUCUUUAUCUUCACCACCUCUGCCUGUUACACUCUAGCCCAGCUUUCUACAUCACUGCAUCUCCUCUCUAUGCCUCCCCUGGCCUACUCCCAACUUCCACGUUUUUUUUCUGGAAGUGCAUACCCAUCUGAGUAAUGCUCUAUUUGCCCCUCCUCUAAUUUUCCCUUUUCUCCCUCAGUAUCAAAAUCUCUCCUUACACCUACUUCCCUCAACCUCCCAAUAACCUCCACAUUAACCCCUCUAUGCUGCAAUCCCACCUUCUUUCAUCUUAUGCACUGCACUCUUUUCUCUCCAUCCUUCUCCCACUCGACAUCCAUAUAAAACCCUCUCACACCUUCUGUCUCUAUCUCUCCUCCUGCUUCUAGCAGCUGGGGAUGUCUCUCCCAACCCAGAGCCCGUGUUCUCCCCUACUCACACUAAGUCAACCAGAAAUCACACAAACCUCAUCCCAAUACCAUGCCUUCUAUCCCAAUCUACCAAUAUUCAGUGUGUACUCUGGACGCCCGCUCCAUCUGCAGCAAUAUAAAAUCAACAGCCAUACAUAACCUCUUCAUCUCAAAUUCUUUCACACUUCUUGCACUCACCUGGCUGUCCCCCUCUGAUACUGCAGCUCCUGCUUCCUUAUGUUAUGGUGGGUUACAAUUCUCCCAAACUCCUAGACCAAACAACUGUAAAGGAGGUGGUGUAGGUAUGCUUCUCUCCCCUAAAUGUACCUUUCAACCUAUCCUCCCUGCCCUAUUCUUUACUUCCUUUGAAGUUCCCACUGUCCAUCUGUUUAAACCCACUCCUCUAAGAAAUGCCAUAAUUUAUCGCCUCUCCCCACCAUCUGCUGUCCAUUGACAUCCGCAUACACCCCGUACCCAAAGUACACCACCCUCACCACAUUAGUCUGAACGCUGCUGGAGAAAGUCUCACUCUGCGUCUGACUUCUUCCAGUAUAAAUUUAUGGUGCGGUCCUACAGUCUGACUCUUUCCUCUUCAAAAGAAAACUACUUCAAUACACUAAUAACCACGCUCACCUGUGAGCCCAAAUGACUGUUUCAUGCUUUUAAGUCUCUUCUGCGCCCUGUCGUGCCUCCUCCUAACAACUUGACCUCCAUAAACUUUGCAACUCACUUCACUGAUAAGAUCUCUCAUCUCUCUCCAUCCACUACCAACUUUCCCCCUAGCCACAGUGCCUCAGCUGUCCUAUGCUCAUUUGCACCUGUUACAGCAGAAGAGGUUUCUGCUCUGCUCCAUUCCUCUCGCCCCACCACCUGUUCCCUCAAUCCUAUUCCCUCGUAUCUCAUCCGCACUUUUUCUCCUUCUCUUGCUCUGCCUCUCACAAUUUUCAAUCUCUCCCUCUCCUAUGGCACAUUUCCUCUACCUUUUAAACAUGCAACCGUAACCCCGAUUCUGAGAAAGCCCAAUCUUGAUCCUAAUUUCCCGUCCAACUACCACCUUAUCUCUUUUGUCUCCAAGAUUCUUGAGAGAGUUGUGUAUGCGAGAUUGACAGACUAUCAAGGCCAUGCUUACCUGGGGGUCCCCAGCCGUGUCUACGUCCACUUCUGCUGCAGUCCCUCCUCGCUGCACGCCCAGGACUCCAACGGGUCCGACCGCAAGGACAGGCAGCCGGCAUCCCUCUAACUGGUGGACGCGGCUCUCCACACCACGCAGUGACCCGCAGGAAGCUCCAGCAGAACCCACGUGUAAACUGCACUCACUCUAGUGAUAGCUGGACUCUUAAAGCUGCCUGUUAUACUGUUCCUGAACCUGCGCUGCCUGCCCUCGACCUUGGCUUACCCUGACUAUUAGACUGUUUUAUCCUCAAUUGGUACCUCGCUUUUGGCUCACUACUGCCACCUGUCAAAGACCCAACAGAAUAACUGAGCCUAACAUGGAGCCCUCAGUGUUAGCCAAAACGCUAAACGCCCUGACCAGACAAGUAUUCACGCUAAUGCAAGCCAUACAAGAAUUACAGACACGUGCUUCUUCCCUUGUUACUGGAUCUCUGCAUGCUAAGCCUGCAGCCCACCUGAUACCUCUGCCAGAGGAUCAUGCCGUGGCACCAGAACCACAAGUUUCUUUGCCAUAUCGCUUCCCGGUUGACAGAUCUAAAUAUCGUUCCUUCAUCAUGGUGUGCGAACUGUUAUUUGAUUUAAAACCUAAGACUUAUUAUUGCAAUUGUGUCAAAGAGCGCACCAUUAUCACCCUUCUCUCAGGUCCACCCAAAUAAGGGGCCCAUGAUCUCCUGCGCAUCAAUGACCCCAGUGUUCAAACAUGAAAUGCAUGAAAUUUUGUUACUGCCAUGACUGCUAUGUAUGAUGAUCCUAAUAGAUAAGAUACUGCUCAGACUGUCAUUAGAGCAUUACAUCAAGGACGGAGACCUGUUGAGGACUACAUAACAGAUUUCAAGCCAUAUGCCAUAGACACACGUUGGAACGAGUUUGAGUUAAUCAAUUUUGCCUAGAUUUGUCUGAAUCAUUAAAAGCCAAAUUUGCUCAUUUUGAUAUACUAAACACUUUGGAAGACUUUAUGCAACAGGCUUUUCAGCUAGACCGACAAGAAAAGGCAGAAACUUAUGCUCCAGCUUCAAAAAAUAUUUUCAAACUAUUCCCCUACUUCUUCGGUCAUGGAUCCCACACCCUCAAAAGAAGAGCCUACGCAAGCAGGUCUCAUAAAAGGAAAGUUACCCCCAGCCAAACUUCAAAUACGAAGAGGAGAAAACCUGUGUCUCUAUUGUGGGCAUCCUCAUCACACAGUGAGAACCUGUCCUGAAAAAUCCACUGGUAAGCAGAUCAACCUGAUUACUAUAAUUUCCAGUUUAUUCACCUCUACUCCACCCUUAUCUGUAUCCCUUUCCUUACAGUGGAAUGAAAACAGCUACGCAUGUUAAGCUCUGAUUGGCUCCGGGGCAAGUGGCUUUUUUUGGACAUUGACCUGGCACAUUCACUUUUCAUUUCUGUACACAAUAAAAGCACUCCACUACGAAUACAACUUGUGGAUGGGUCCUUCUUGCAAUCUGGUCCACUUACCAAACAAACUAAACCAAUAUUAGUGUCAAUAGGGAAACAUUCUGAGACAUGGACUUUUGAUUUGGUUUCUUCCCCUUUGUUCCCUGUUAUUUUGGGUAUACCUUGGCUACGGCAACAUGAUCCUACUAUUUCCUGGUCUACUGGUACCGUAUCAUUCUCUUCACCCCAUUGCUCUCAGCCUUGUUUAAACACAACCAAAAAGAGUUUUAUUCAUUCUAUAUUGGAGAUCAACAUGAAAAAGGAGCAAGAGGUUUAUAAGGAGUAUCAAGAUGUGUUUGAGAAAAAGGCAGUAGAAACCUUACUACCCGUCGGAUAUUGGAUUGCCCAAUCGACUUGCUGCCAGGAGCACCUAUUCCUUCUGGAAGAAUAUACCCCUUAUCAGAAAAGGAACUCCAUAUCCUAAAGGAAUACAUACAAGAAAACCUAAAGAAAGGAUUUCUCCGUCCUUCUACUUCUACUGCAGGUGCUGGAAUAUUCUUUGUGGGGAAGAAAGAUGGCAGUUUAACACCUUGUGUGUAUUACAGAGAACUCAUUCAUAUCACUAUAAAAAAACAAAUAUCCACUACCCCUUAUUCCUGAACUUAUAGAAUGCCUCCAAUCUGCUCGUAUAUAUUCUAAACUUGAUCUAAGAGGUGCCUAUAACCUGCUCAGAGUCCAAGAGGGUGAUGAAUGGGAAAUGGCAUUUUGUACCCGGUAGGGUUAUUUUGAAUAUCUGGUUAUGCCCUCCUGUAAUGCCCCUGCCUCUUUCCAGCAUUUUCUCAACAAUGUGUUUCAUGACCUUCUUGAUCAAUAUGUAGUCGUCUACUUAGAUGACAUAAUGGUCUUCUCCCCAUAUCUCCAAACCGAUCACCUAUAUAUGACUGAGGUAAUGAAAAGUUUAAGGAAAUUUAAUUUGUAUGCAAAAAUUAAAAAAUGCAUCUUCUAAAUACACUGUGUGGAAUUUCUGGGUUUUAUCAUUAAACCAGGUAAAGUGGAAAUGGAUCCCAGAAAAGUAAAUGCUAUCCUGAAAUGGUCCACACUAGGGAUCGACCGAUAUUGAUUUUUUAGAGCCGAUACCGAUACCGAUAUUCUGUGAACUUUCAGGCCGAUAGCCGAUAUAAUUUGCCGAUAUUCUGUACAUUUACCAUUUUGGAAAAUAAAAACUAUUUCUAAAGGUAAAUGCACAAAAUAUACAUGCCACGUGUAGUGGAUGCAGUGUGACAGGGGAGCUGUGUGUGUGUGUGUGCAGUGGAUGCAGUGUGUGUCUUUGUGUAGUGUGUGUGUAGUGGAUGCAGUGUGUUAAUUCCUGCUUGGUUCACUGCUGCCCACCUUUAGUUUAUUUAGUGAGCGCCUAACUCCUCUUUGUUGUGUCUUUGUGUAGUGUGUGUGUAGUGGAUGCAGUGUGUGUUUGUGUAGUGUGUGGGUUGUGGAUGCAGUGUGUGUUUGUGUAGUGUGUGUGGAGGAUGCAAUGUGUGUUUGUGUAGUGGAUGCAGUGUGUAUUUGUUUAGUGUGUGUAGUGGAUGCAGUUUGUAUUUGUUUAGUGUGUGUAGUGGAUGCAGUGUGUAUUAGUGUAGUGUGUAUAUAAUGAAAGCAGAGUGUUUGUGUAGUGUGUGGGUAGUGUGCGUAAAGUGAAUGCUGUAUAUACUAAAUGCAAAGUGUGUGUGUAUAUAAUGAAUGCAGAGUGUGUGUGUAUUUGUGUAGUGUGUGUAUAGUGAAUGUAGUGUGUGUUUGUAUAGUGUGUGUAUAUAAUGCAGUGUGUUUGUGUAGUGUGCAUUAUAUAAACACACUACGCAAAUACACUGCAUUAUAUACACACACUAUGCAAACACACUGCAUUAUAUACACACACUACACACACAAACACUGCAUUAUAUAAACACUACACAAACACACAC